AUGAGUAUUUGUGCAUAUAUUCACUGUCAUGUGCAGAAUAAUUCAUCAUUAUCAGGCGCUGUGACCAGACAGACAGCAGCUGCGGCACGCAAUACUACAUUCUUCUGCUGGUCACAUCACGCACUGGAGGAGAAACGUACAAAUCCGCGAUCUGUUACCUGGUUUCGGCUCACAAGCAGUUGUUUAGUGCUCGCCGCUCGGAGUCCUCUCACAGCCGCCUGGGAUGCCAUGGAUGCCGCCAUGUUGAACCGGAAAAGAUAAAGAAGAUCAACACAAAAGCAGGAUGCCAUGAUGGAUGUUUGAUGGGUUGGAUCGGAUGCAUAUCAGGUUCCCAAACUUGGUGGCGUGUUUCUUUAGCGUUGAUCAGAGGGAGGAGGUUUGAUUCUCUCUCAUACAUACACACAAUCUAUCUAUCUUUUCUCACUCUCUUCUCAACUCUCUAAAAGCACUCAUUACUCUCUGACACUGUGAAAGGGCAGGAAGGGCAAAAUGAUCAUAAAAAGCUGUGAUUAUGACAGAGAGACAUUUGCUUCAAACUGAUGUGUGUCAGCAGAAACCCAUUGAGAGAGGAUGAUGAACCACUCCUGGAGAACAUGAGAGCAUCUCUCUCCUUCCCCCAAUUUUUUUUUCUUUUUCUUUUUCUUUUCUUCACACUACGGUCACAUAAACAAACCUCUGCCCCUUCAAUACAUUCAAACCAAAACAUGCAGAUCAGCACAUAUUGACAUUUUGCAAUGGCAGAAGAGCCACUAUUGCCUUUUUAUUCUGUUAUGUAUUUAUUUCAACCCAAGCUUAUUGGGAAAACGUGCCUGAGAUGACAUUUCUGCAAACAGAUUACGUUGCUUCUUGCACGUUUCCCAACACUUUUAAAAUGUCCAGUAAAUUUUGCUAAAAGCAGUUUUAUUUAUUUUUUUAUCUGAAGUUUUAUCCAAAACAGAUUAAUGUGAAUCUGGCAACAUUUUAUUAUGCUGGUUGUUGUAAAUAUCAUGGUAGUUUGGAAAUGAAAUGUCCGGUGAGUAGCGCAAAAAAGGUUAAUAAUGGAUCGCAUUUAAAAAUAACAUACCACCUGCAGUAAACCUUGCCCUAAACCAAUAGAGUUAACAUGAGAUAAACAAACAUGAAAUAUAAUUUUUUUUGACUUGUGUUUUACCAGACUUAUACCCAAGCGUUUCGCAUCACACGCCAUACUGUACCAGGUGGGCUACCAAGCAAGUUUACUACAUCAGAAAAGCAGUAUGUAUGCUGUUGUUUAUGUGAUGCAAACAUCAAAAUGUGUUAGUUUAUAAAUGUUAAAACAGUUUUUGCAUUACAAUAUGUUAUUUUGCAAGAAAACCAUGCAAGAAUAUGCCUUUUUUAAUCUAUAAAUCUACCCUUUUAGCAUAAUUUUUGUGAAAAAUGUAUAAAAGUUGUUGGUGUUUCAGCUGGAAACUGCAGUGAAUUGUAUGUAUUCGUAGUUAUGUUUUUUAUAGUUUUUCAAAGAUGCAGGUAUAGGCAUGUUUUUCCAAUGAGCUUAGGUUGAUUUAUUUCACAAAUUACUUACUCUUUUCCGGCUACUUUUUAAUGGGAAGAGAUCCAUAUUUUCAUUGUGUGGUGUAUUCUUUACGUUUCACCUUUUUUAAAUCCAGCCGUCGUACACAAACAAAACUUGCACACUAUGCACAAUAUUCUCAAUCUGUCGACCAAGCUGUCUUUUUGAGGGAGGAUGUUUGUUUCAUGGUAUAAGAGCUCUGUAUUAUGGUAAUGAAGCUGACCUGAACUUGGAUGUUUAAUAAAGGACGAGGAUUCUUCUCA
ensembl:lncRNA